UACAGAGGGUGCAAGCGUUAAUCGGAAUUACUGGGCGUAAAGGGCGCGUAGGCGGCCCGCUAAGUCGAACGUGAAAUCCCCGAGCUCAACUCGGGAACUGCGUCCGAUACUGGCGGGCUUGAAUCCGGGAGAGGGAUGCGGAAUUCCAGGUGUAGCGGUGAAAUGCGUAGAUAUCUGGAGGAACACCGGUGGCGAAGGCGGCAUCCUGGACCGGCAUUGACGCUGAGGCGCGAAAGCUAGGGGAGCAAACGGG
rnacentral:rRNA from 1 species